rnacentral:rRNA from 1 species
GAUGAACGCUGGCGGCGUGCCUAAUACAUGCAAGUCGAGCGAACAGACGAGGAGCUUGCUGCUCUCACGUUAGCCGCGCACGGGUGAGUAACACGUGUAUACCCUCCCUAUAAUACUGGUAUCACUUCGGGAAACCGGAGCUAAUCCCGUAUAAUAUCUUGAACCGCGUGGGUGAAUGGUGAAAUACGGUGUUGCUGUCACUUAUCGAUGGAUCCGCGCUGCAUUAGCUGGUUGGUAAGUUAACAGCUUAUCAAGGCAACGAUGCGUAACCGACGUGUGAGAGUGAUCGGCCACACUGGAACUGAGACAGGGUCAUGACUCCUACGGGAGGCAGCAGUAGGGAAUCUGCCGCAAUGGGCGAAAGCCUGACGGAGCAGCGCCGCGUGAGUGAUGAAGGUCUUCGGAUCGUGAAACUCUGUUAUGAGGGAAGAACAGAUGUGUAAGUAGCUGUGCACUUAGUGACGGUACCUAGUCAGAAAGCAACGGCUAACUACGUG